rnacentral:rRNA from 1 species
UACGAAGGGGGCUAGCGUUGCUCGGAAUCACUGGGCGUAAAGCGCACGUAGGCGGACUCUUAAGUCAGGGGUGAAAUCCUGGAGCUCAACUCCAGAACUGCCUUUGAUACUGGGAGUCUUGAGUUCGGGAGAGGUGAGUGGAACUGCGAGUGUAGAGGUGAAAUUCGUAGAUAUUCGCAAGAACACCAGUGGCGAAGGCGGCCACCUAGCCCGCACCUGACGCUGAGGCGCGACAGCGUGGGGAGCGAACUGG